CAGGGAUAACUACUUCAUCCUUUCUAAUUUUGAUGCCUUUUAUUUCUCUUCCUUGCCUAAUUGCCCUGGCAGUACUAUGUUGAAGAGAAGUGGUGAAAACGUGCAUUUCUUUCAUUCUUUUUGCUUCUUCUUUCCCACUAUUAAAAAGUCCUGUGAUAUAUGACUGGAUAUGACUGGAAAUAUCCUUUUGUUUAGCAAAGUCUAGUGCUGUACUAAGUAUCUUGGUUCUAGGUUCAUAGUUUUGUGGUUCUCAGAUAAAUAUGGAUAAUCUUAUCUAUCUUGUUGAUACAUUUAAAAAGUGAGACUCAUUGCCAAAAUUAUAAGAAAAUGUGUUUAACUUUGGAUUUUUAUUUCAGUGGGAACCUCAUAGUUAGUAUAUUUAAUAUUGCCUAUUUUUCUGGACUAAUUUAAAUGCCUUCUAUUGAAUUUGAGCUAUUCUCCUGUGAGUUAUUCACUGUGAUGCCUAUUGAUAAACUCAUUUGGAUAAUAUAUCUAGGGAUAAUUUUACCUGUAAAAUAGAAAAGGAAAUGAAUUAUUGUUCUACAUAGGUCCUUGGAGUAAACUUACUUAAUUGUUGACUCUAAAUUUAUUUUAGAGAUUUUUAAGGACAGCAUUUGAACUGCACAACUUAUGGGUCCAGGAAGAUACAAGGGGUCCUGAAAGUUACGAGGUGGGGCCAGUUACACAAAGACAGAAGUCCCUAGAACUGGGCAGAGGAUUGUCGUGUGUCUUAUUAUCUGUAAAUCCUUAUUAUCUAGGGCAGGAAAUGCUUCUCAGUCUCUUAUCAUUCUUUUGUCUUUUCCAUAGACAGGAGGCAACUUCCUCUCCACAAUCAUUUCCUUUUUUCAUCCUUUUCCUGGCUUCUGCUAUGGAAGGAGGAAUUGAAGUCAUUCAGGUGACAACAGGAAAAGCCCUUUUCUUCCUAACCUUUGAGACACUUGGAGAUCUCACAGUGGGAGCCUUCUCCCUGCUACAGUAGUUGCUCUCCCCCAAUUGCAGCAAUGUAUCUCCCCCAAUUCAAUAAUCCUUCGGAAUAAAAUCCUUCCUUAUUUACGAUCUGAUUUGUUU
rnacentral:lncRNA from 13 species